rnacentral:pre_miRNA from 1 species
GAGUCGCGUUUCGCGAAUUUGAUAUCUGGAAGGGGAAUGUGUUUCAGCUAGUCAUCCUUGCGUCGUUUAUCU